ACAGCGGAGAGUUUGAUCCUGGCUCAGGAUGAACGCUAGCGGCAGGCUUAACACAUGCAAGUCGAGGGGCAUCGGGAGGGAAGCUUGCUUUCCUUGCCGGCGACCGGCGCACGGGUGAGUAACACGUAUGCAACCUGCCCUCUUCAGGGGGACAACCUUCCGAAAGGGAGGCUAAUCCCGCGUAUAUCGGUUUCGGGCAUCCGAGAUCGAGGAAAGAUUCAUCGGAAGAGGAUGGGCAUGCGGCGCAUUAGCUUGACGGCGGGGUAACGGCCCACCGUGGCGACGAUGCGUAGGGGUUCUGAGAGGAAGGUCCCCCACACUGGUACUGAGACACGGANNNNNNNNNNCACACACACUUACUUAUAUAUGUGUAUGGAGCAAAAGACCAAGCACCAGAACAGAAAUAACCUACUCAUUCUAG
rnacentral:rRNA from 1 species